CGACCCCCAGCAAAUGCAGAAACAUUUAGUUGUAAUAAAAUAAAAGAUAAUGACAAAGAAGAUGGCUGCUUCUAUUUCAGGUAUUUCUCAAAACAUUUCAUAUUUUGAAUACAUAUCUUGUUACAAAGUAAUUCAACCCUGGAGAUAUAUGUGGGCUCACCUGAGGAAAAGUAAUUUAUGAUCAAAUAGAAAUGUUAGUGUCUCUAAAUUUUUCUCAGUUUUUUGGGAAAAGGUGUGUUUUCGUUUUUAAGCAUUAAAUUGGUUUUAAGCUUUGUAAAUUGUAAUUGUAUUUGCUUUUGAAACUAUCGAAGCCAUCAGAAGAAUUCUUUUAUGUUGUCAGGGCACUUUAUAACUUCUUAUUAUAUAGGAGGUUUCUAUAAAGAUUAGACUGGCUUUUAACAUUUCUGUGACUUUGAGCAUGUUGCUGCUUCAUUCUGGACCUCCAUUUUCAAAUCUAAAAACAUUAUGUGUUAAGUUUCUUUACAAAUCCUUUAUCAUCAAUAGGGUCAAAAUGCUCAUUAUAUUUGUUCAGUGCUUUUUCAGACUAAUUGGUAAAGGACCAAUCAUGGAAGCUCCACCCCUUACCUCUUCCAGUUAUUACCGUCUUCCUUCCUGUUGUGCAUGCCAUGCACACACUCAUGUAGACACACACAUGCA
rnacentral:lncRNA from 1 species